GUGGAUAGACUGCAGUCGAACGGGCUGUAGCAUACAGUCAGUAGGCGCAAUGGUGUGCGUAACACGUGGGGAAUCUGCCGAGAAGUGGGGGAUAGCUCGCCGAAAGGCGAAUUAAGUACCGCAUGUGACUAGUGAGCGACAUCUCUCCGACGUCAAAGCCUGGGGCAACCUGGCGCUUCUUGAUGACCCCGCGGCUAUCAGCUAGUUGGCUGAGUGUAAUUGGCUCACCAAGGCAUUUGACGUGGUAGCUUGGUCUCAGAGGACGACCAGCCACACUUGGAACUUGACGACAACGGUCCAGACACCUACGGGUGGCAGCAGGUCGACGAAUAUAUUUCUCAAUAGGGGGAAACCACUGAAGUGAGCGAAAGGCACAG
rnacentral:rRNA from 1 species